AAGGUCAUGGCAACAGUUUUUUUGGGAUGCUCAAAGCAUUUUGCUUGUUGACUUUCUGGAGGGCCAAAUAAUGACAAUAUCUGCUUAUUAUAGGAGUGUUUUAGAAAGUUAGCCAAAACAUUAGCAGAAAAAAAUCCAGGAAACCUUCACCAGAGAGUCCUCCUCCACCAUAACAAUGCUCCUGCUCAUUCAUCUCAUCAAACAAGGGCAAUUUUUCAAGAGUUUCUAUGGGAGAUCAUUAAGCAUCCACCUUACAGUCCCGAUUUGGCUCCUUCUCAUUUCUUUUUGUUUCCUAAUCUGAAAAUACCUUUAAAGGGCAUCCAUUUUUUCUUCAGUUAAUAAUGUAAAAAGACGGUAUUGACAUGGAUACAUUUCCAGGACCCUCAGUUCUUUAGGGAUGAAUUAAAUGGCUGAUAUCAUCACUUACAAAACUAUCUUAACCUUGAUGGAGCUUAUGUUGAGAAGUAAAGUUUAUAUUUUUAAUUGUUAUCUUUUAUAAUUACAUUUUCCAUGAACUUUUUGAAGUCCCCUCAUAUGUGCAUCAAAAUACAUGUUUGAUGAUGUUAUGUUACAGUAUUUUUUGAAAUAGCAAAAAGCUGGAAACAACCUACAUGUCCACUUACAGAGGAUUUCUGUUAUUCCUUCUGUAUUAUAUCCUACACCUCACCCUAGAAAGCAAGGACUCUUGUUUAUAGUGAGUACUCAGAGAAGCUUGAAGGAAGGAAAAGGAAGGGAGGGGUCAGAGAAGGAGGAAAGACAGAGCUCAGCAGGAGGUUGAGUAGAAGCAGGAAGAGACGGGCUAGUGCGGAGUGACACUGGCAUUUCACUUUGAUCCUAAAGGGAGGGAGUUCUUUCACAGUCCUGUUUUCAAGUCUUCACUGGGCCAGUUGUGAAGAUUACGUGCAAAAGAAAAUCAGAGGCCUGAAGUUACACCUUGCCCACACUGACUCCAAGGCCUGCAGGUGAACAAUAAAUGGUUUCUAAACUGAUGAACUGAUUCAGGGCAGAGCCUCUAGGAUUACCAGGAAGAACCACUGCUUUCUUCCUACCAGCAAGUAGCCUUACCCUUCUUUGGACCAGAAAGACACAAGUCAGCAUGAAAUUUUACAGGUGAUGGGCCCAGACUUUUUUGUUUUUAACAACAGAAUCCUCUCGAAUUAUUAUGAGAAAUGCAAUAAAUAAAAAAGGUAUAGUGGAACCGGUUGAAGUGGAGAGCAGCAGCCCUUCUCUGCAGAGUUCCCAGGUUCCCCCUCCUUGUCCUUCCUACCCCUGCAAUAGCCUCUGAGAAACCUCUGUACAAGCCCUUGGGUGUUCCAGGCUUUGCUUGGAAACCACAGGUACAGUCCUGUCUUCACCAUAUGUGACAAAGAGCUCACAGCCCAGCCAAAAUGGCUGAUGCUCUCAUAGCUCAUUAGUGGUAGAAUCCAGACAAAAAGUCUCUCCUAAUUUUCAAUCUGGUUUAUUGAAGGUCAGAGUUCAAACUUGAAGGCACAUACAAAUCACCCGGGGAGCUUGUUAAACACGAAGACUUUGAUUUAGUAGGUCUGGGGUGGGGCCUAAGAGCCUGCAAGUAUAACAAGCUCUCAGAUGAUGCUAAAGUGAGGCCACACAUUGAACAGCCACAGCUCAUAAGUAGGCAGCAGGCAGCAGGAGAUGGGUUUUUCUUCGUUUACAGGAAAAGUACAGUUAAGGACUUGUCUUAGCAUGGAAGUUCCAGGUAUUAAGGGUUUAUGAUAAGGUGGGUAGGGUAUUGUCUGCUAUUGGCAGCUUCCUGUCCCAGAUUCAAAAUUCUGUGGUCAGCUGGCCAAUUUGUACUGCAGAAAGCACUUUGUUCCUACUAUUACAAUACCCAUUUGAUGGAGAAGUGCACUGAGGAUCAGAGGUUAUGCUGGGUUGUAUCCAUCACAAAGCCAGCAAGUGGCAGAACUCAUAACUUGAACCCAAGUCCGUUGACCCCAAGGCAUAGUUCUUCCCCAUUUCAAGCCUCUCAUUAUUACAGGGUAUUUAGACUAUCUUUUUGGACUGUACUCACUUAUGACAGGCUGGAAAUGUCCAUGACUGAACUUGACACUCUUUUUAGUCUCUAACUAAACAUAAACUGAAACCUGGGCUUAAGGAUGGUUGAAUGGUUUCUCCUCUCUAAUUUCCUUCAAGGUCUCCAGACUUCUCACUAGGUAAUCAUUGGACUGUCCAAAUCAUCUGAAACGGAAGUCCUUCAAGGGACAAUCAGCUGACAGUACAGCUCUUUGCAGGUUGCCUUCCUCGUGUUCAGCUAGCUCAUUGACUAAGCAUCUACUUGUGUUGUCAAACUCUUUCAAACAUUUCUCAUAGCCAAAAUAAAAGCAAACAUGAGCUCAUAUUUGAAAAAGCUAAAUAGUUCUAUUUUCUCCCCCAGCGCUCUUAGUUUUAACUGUAGGCAGAAGGCAGGGAGCAGCCAUCGGGCAGACUCUGUCCCUAAUUAGUACAACAAAAGAAAAGGGGUGUUGGGAUUUCCCCCAACCCCAAGGAUUGUGUCAGGUGGAAUCUGAAAAAAGUUUCUCAGAACUUGACCAUUAGAUGGUUGGGGCAGAAGGUAAAAGCAAAAUUGGAAUUAGUCCGUGUAGUUACUCGUUAGAAGUUAGGUACCUAUUAGUCCAGCUAUGGUAGAAUGACUGCCAUUCUGAUAGAGUCAUAAUACAUUCUUGGUUUGUGUUCUCUCAUUAGCUCUAUUCUUACUGCAUUUAACUCACAUCUCACUAUUAGGUCUAUACCCUAGGUUUAGGGACCUUCCUUCCCUUUACAUUAACUUAGCUAGGAGAGAGCCAACCCUCUGUUAUUGAGGAAUGAGUCUCUACAGAGUUUGGUAAGGAAAAAUGAGAGGAAGAGAAUUCCAAGAUUAAACUAAUACAAGGCAAAUAUGUAGUAAAAAGGGGAAAGGGCAAUCUUUUUUUAAACUAUCCCAAAAUACAUUUUUCGAGCACCUAUGAUUUGAUAGAUGAUUUCACAUGUUAUACAUGUUAUCAUAUUUAAACUUCACAAAACUCCCAUGCUAGGGUACAAUGAGGGGAACCCAUAUGGUUAGAUAUAGGUAAUUAUCAAAGGCCCUGCUUUUGUUUCCAUGAUGAGUGAUACGGUUUGAGUCUACGUCCCCACCCAAAUCUCAUGUCGGAUUGUAAUCCCUACUGUUGGAGGUGGGGCCUGGUGAGGGGGUGAUUGGAUCAUGGGGGCAGUUUCUCAUGAAUGGUUUCGCAUCAUCUCCUCGGUGCUGUUCUCAUGAUAGUGAGUGAGUGAGUUUUCAUGAGAUUUGGUUAUUUAAAGGAAUGUAGCACCUCCUGCUUUGCUCUCUCUUCCUCCUAUUCCAGCCAUGUGAAGCGCUGGCUCCCCCUUUGUUUUUCACCAUGAUUAUAAGUUUCCUGAGGCCUCCCGAGAAGCUGAGCAGAAGCUGUCAUGCUUCCUGUGUAGCCUGCAGAACCAUGAGCCAAUUAAACCUUUUAUCUUUAUAAAUUACCCAGUCUCAGGUAUUUCUUUUUUUUUUUUUUUUUUGAGACAGAGUCUCGCUCUGUCACCAGACUGGGGUGCAGUGGCAUGAUCUCAGCUCACUGCAACCUCCGACUCCCUGGUUCAAGUGAUUCUCCUGUCUCAGCCUCCCGAGUAGCUGGGAUUACAGGCACGUGCCACCACGCCCAGAUAAUUUUUGUAUUUUUAGUAGAGAUGGGGUUUCACCAUGUUGGCCAGGAUGGUCUUGAUCUCCUGACCUCAUGAUCCACCCACCUCGGCCUCCCAAAGUGCUGGGAUUACAGGCGUGAGCCACCGCACCCAGUCAGGUAUUUCUUUAUGGCAAUGCAAGAAGGGACUAAUACAGUGAGUUUGCAGGUACUUUCCACAUUAUUAAAAAGAACGAACUAAAUGUGUGAAUAAAAGUAAGCCAUGCAUGGUCUAUUGUGUUGUAAAUCAAGAAUUAUGACUAACCCAAUUCUGUGUCCUAGAGGUCAGAAAAAUAAAAAGAAAUCUCAUGUGCUGUAAUUGUACCAUUUUAUCCAUGAGGACACUGGGGUUGACAGAGGUCAACUCACACAGCUUAUAAGGCAGGUCCAGGAUUUGCAUCCAGGUCUGUCUGGCCCCCAGUUUAUUUCUCUUUCCAUGCUAAGACAAUAAAUAUUUAUGCCACAGAUGUAAAAGCUAGAUUCCUAAAGUUUGUGAUACUCCCUCACCUUCUUACUCUGUUUUACCUAGAGUACUGAGUAUCUCUACAGUCAUCUGAUGAGCUAAAGAAGAGGCCACAUCCGCCAUCAUAGGAAAUAAAUCUCCUGACAUCUAGCUUAUAAUUACGGGAAACUCAAGGAGAACUUUCUGAAGAUUGAAAUCUGUAAGAAAGUAGAUUUCCAGAAAAGAAGUUCCCUCCUGUGAACAGAAAAAAGGACGUAUGGGAAAACACCAGGCUACAUCUUUAUACAUGUGCUGUUGACGAAAAACAAAUGCCGCGUUUUCUCAGGAAGGAGUCAGCUGGACUCUUGGCAGCACCUCUUGACCGAAGUUUUGGUGGAAAGUGGAGACCAGGUGCUAACAACUAUUGAUUGAUAACUGACGUUGAGAGGAUCUUAGCAGGCAGGAGGAGGCAAGGCCUCAGGUACAAGAGGACUAUAGAAAGAGAAUGUGCCUGCCAAAAAGCCAGGUCUUCCCUACUGGGGCAGGAUAAAGUCAAACACAAUAGGAGUUCCCUGGCUGCCAUCUUAUUCAUCUCAGGAGUUCAUCAGAAAAAGAAUCCAGAAUCUAACAACCCAAAGGAGGCUUAAUUUUUGUACUUAGUACAAAGCUACAAAAAUUAAGGUGAAUAAUGGCACCUUUGUUUUUGUUUUAUGCUAUCGUACGCAACUCAAGAAUAAUGACAUAAUGACAUCUUUUUUUUUUUUUUUUUUGAGAUGGGGUCUCGCUCUAUUGCCCAGGCUGGAGUGCAGUGGCUCGAUCUUGGCUCACUGCAACCUCUGCCUCCUGGGUUCAAGCGAUUCUUGUGUCUCAGCCUCCCAAGUAGCUGGCAUUACAGGUGAUUACACCACACCCAGCUAAGUUUUGUAUUUUCAGUAGACACUUGGUUUUGCCAUGUUGCCCAGACUGGUCUUGAACUCCUGACCUCAAAUGAUCCACCCAUCUCGGUCUCCCAAAGUGCUGGGAUUACAGGCAUGAGCCACUGUGGCCAGCCAAGAAUAAUGACAUCUUACAAUCAACUGUUCUUGAUGGUCUACAAUGCAUUUGCAGUUUUAUCUUUUCAUUUGCUCCUCACAGAAACUCCCUAAGGAAGGGAAGAUAGGAUUAUCUUCAUUGUUUUGGUGAAUAAGCUGAGGUUUAGUGUAACUGAGUGACUUAGCCAAGACCACACAGUAUGAAGUGACAGGAUGGAGUUUAGACUAAAGGUCUCUUACUAUUUGUAGUACCUCACUAGCCAGUUCAUAUUAGCUAGAGGUAGUCUCACUUUCAGAUCCAGAGACAAAUUGACUUAUAAAUACCGAGAAAAUUCUAGGAGGUAGCAAAAUAGCAGAUUUGGAGCUAUUUAAGGAGAAGAGAAAUUUUAUGUUGGGAAAAAUGUGGAAGAAGAAGAAGUGAAUAUGAAAAAAUGCUGCUAUGGUCUGAAUGUUUGUGUUCCCUCCAAAUUCAUAUGCUGAAAUCUUAACUGCAAAGGGACAGUAUUAGGAGGUGGGGCUUUGGGGAAGUAAUUAGGUCAUGAGGGCAGAGCCCUCAUGAAUGAGAAAAGUGCCCUUAUCAAAUAGGCCCAAGGGAGCUUGUUCACCCUUCCACCUCGUGAGGACACAGUGAGAAGGCAUCACCUAUAAACCAGAACUCAGGCCCUCACCAGACACCAACUCUGCUGGUGCCUUGGACUUCUCAGUCUCCAGAACCGUGAGACUAACUUCUGCUGUUUCUAAGCCACCCAGUGUGUGACAUUUUGUUGUAGCAGCCUGAGCUAAGAUAGAUGCUUAAUGUACUCAGUUUUCUUCUCCCCUCUUCUCUCCUAUUCUGACCUCCUCUCCUGUUCUCUCCUCUCCUUUUCUUUCCUAUUCUUUUCCCAAGACAACCUUUUCUGAGUUCAGUUUUAAUGCUCCAUGCUAUGGGUGUCUUGAUAAUCUGGGAGCGGUUCAGGUGAGGAACCCGACUGUGGCAACUUAGCUGCCCUGCACAGGGCUCUGCAAGUGGUAGGUUCUCAAAAUGUGUGACUGGCUUCAGAAGUGACGUUUUAGGAGGACUUAAGUAACAUCUGUUCAGAACUGGAAGUUUUUCCAAAUAUGUAAACUUAUAUUGACCGUCUUAAUGGCUUGUGACUUAAUACCAUCAUCAGAAAUUGCUUUUCAAAAUUAUGCUACGUACAGUUUUAUUGUAAAGGAAGCAAAGUUGGCUGUGCACGGUGGCUCACACCUGUAACCGCAGCACGUUGGGAGGCCAAGGUGGGUGGAUCACCUGAGGUGAAGAGUUCGAGACCAGCCUGGCCAACGUGGUGAAACCUGUCUCUACUAAAAAUACAAAAAUUAACCGAGUGUGGUGGCACACGCCUGUAGUCCCAGCUACUCGGGAAGCUGAGACAGGAGAAUUGCUUGAACUCGGGAGGUGGAGGCUGCAGUGAGCAGAGAUUGCGACACUGCACUCCAGCCUGGGUAAGACAGAGCAAGACUCCGUCUCAAAAAAAAAAAAAAA